UACUACUUGUAUAAUUGACGUGGCUCAUUAAGCCACGUGUCAUUCUCUCAAUUAACCAGAAUAAAAAAAGAGGGAACGGGGGUAUUGCAAACACGUUACAUUACAUUCUGCCUUCUAAUCUUCUCCCCCUACCCAUGCCCGUGCGUUUCACUUCAACCCGUCCCCUCCUCUUUCUCCUUGAAAACCCUAAAUCCCAUCCUCCUCUUCGUUCCUUCCUCGAUGACCCACUCCAUUCUUGUGGUCGAUAUCAUCGCUGGCUAUUGACGCUUCGUUUGCCUCUCUCACCGAGUAGUUUAAUACCCCAGUUCCCGACGAACAUCUACCCCAGUUCCCGAAGAACAUCUCUCUGAACCCCGAUUUGAAAACCCUAACCAACCGAGGUAGGCGGAUUAUUCGUCUGGGAGAACGGUUCUGGCGUUGGCGGCGGUGAUGGUGAGUUUCAUCCAGGGAGAUGCUCGCAAUGAUGAUCCACUACGAUCUCUGUUGUGGGCUUAAUACGCUCAGGGAAGUGAACAGCUUUGGUGAUUCAUGUUCGGUUGAGAUCUCAAUCGUCGCUGUCCUCGUGGAGGUAUUCUGCUGAUCUCAUUGUUUGUCUGGUGCUGUAUGUUUAAAGUCGGUGAUUUAGGGUUUCCUUUGUGGGUUGGUGGUCUUUGAUUUGGGGUUUGGCCAAGGAGGGUUCAGCUGUAACUCUCUGUCGCCAUCCCACUCUCUACUUGAAACCUUAACUGUUUCUUCGUUGUUGGAACCACAAAAAUGGAGGUCUUCACAAACGGAACUUGAUCGAAAGGGCUGAAACCAGAUCAAGCUGAGGAUUCUCAUAGCAGUGAGAGAUCCGAAAUCCUGUGAAUCACGCAAUCCAAUAUGCUCGAAGCCUACACCAGCCUUCAAAAAGUCGCGAAGUAACCCUUCCUUACCUAUUUCCUUCAUUUCUUUAUUCUAAUUUUUAUCUCAUUAAAAGGAGUUGGUUUGUUUCUUAUAAAACUAUUUAGUGUUCUUGUGGGGUCCAUGUUGAGUUUGCAGGUAUCAUUAACAUUUUAUUUCAUCCCCCCCAAAGAUUUGGACACAAAGGAAUUGAGAGGCAAAUUUGUUUUUGUUGCCUUUUUUUUCAGUUACCUGUUCUUCAGUUGUGCAGUAGUUUUUGGGUUCAGAGAUAAAAUACUUUUGGUAGGCAGAAUGAUUCAGUUAGAGACGAGUGAAUAAAUGCAGCGGCAUACGGGGAGCAAAUUGAUAGGAUUGCCAACUUACUAAUUCUCAGCUUUUGGCUUGGGAGAAAAGGCUUUUUGGGCAAGUUUGCUGGGACUAAGAAAAGAAUGAGUGUCUUCAAAGGCAAUGGAAAAGAUGGAAAGUGAAAAGGUGUCAAAAGACCCUAAUAAACCAAAGAGGCAACUGAGUGGUUUCUUCGUUUAGUCCGAAAGGGAGUAUGUGGUUGGUCUUAAAAAUGCUCUGUUGAGGAGAGAGGAGCAUCUUCCUUUGGAAGAGGUUGAGAAGAUCCUUGAUGCUGGAAUUUGAUGAGUCUUCUCAUGGCUCUGGAGAUGAGUCUGCAUGUUAAAUGAGAUGACUGCCCAUGCCAGUUAACUAGAGCUACUGAUUAGGACUAAUAGGGCAUUAGAUAUUUUGGUUGUGUUCAUGUAAGCAUUUCAUAUUUUGGGUUGUGAUGUAGGAGAUGUGUGGAUUAAGAUGUUUUUAUCUUCUGUAUGAAAUGCUUUGUGCAUUUGUAUUGGGCUUAUUUCAAAUGUAAUUAAUAAAGUGUUAGGGUGUGGAGUGAGGACACAAUAUCAUUAGCCACUAGGUAAAUUAAUUGUGCAGUCCUUUAUGUUUGUAGUUCAGUUAUUUCUUUGAAAUUCAAUAAAGUGAAGUAGCUCCUUUAUGAUGUUAAAA